AUACAGAUGUGGAAACGCCUUGCUCCAUCCCGAACCAAGAAGCUAAGCACAUCGUGGGUGAUGAUACUACGCCUUACUGGCAGGGGGAAAGUAGCUCAUUGCGGACUUGUUAAUU
rnacentral:rRNA from 1 species